AAGGAAGGAAGGAAGGAAGGAAGGAAGGAAGGAAGGAAGGAAGGAAGGAAGACUAAAUGAAAACUAAAUAAAAGAGUUUCGAGGGAGGUCUGCUACUAGUAAGAGAAUUUAAUUUGGAUAACUUGGGGAGAAAAUGAUUCUAUUUUUUAAGACAAUGUUUACAGUUAGAUAACUGUUUUACAGUGUUCUUUUCUGCCUGUUCAUAGCUCCUUGGAAGGACAGUGACCUAGGAAACCGAACAGGUGGUGCCAUGUUUCCAAUGUUAGCUGUGUGACUAUAAAACGUCUUCAGCCUUUCGUUUACAGUGUUUUCAUAAUUCACCUGCUGCAAGGAACAGAAAACUUUGGUCUCCUAUCUCAGCCUAAAGUUUCUAAGCUCGCCUCUGGAAUCAGUCUCAGAAUCUAGAUCAAGGGAGCAGAUCGGUAUCUCCAAAAACACAUAAGCUUCCUUUCCAGUUUACCUUUCUGACUCCAGAAAUUUACCUUCUUGCUCUGCAGUCACUGACCAAGUCCAUCAAAACUGAUGCUGUCCCUGUUGUUACCCUAGAAACCAUGAUUAUAGAGAGUCUGUUCAAAUUCCUUCCAUUGCCCUCUCCUGAUAUACUUCCAAGCAUACCCAUGACCUUGAAUUUAGCUUAUAGGUCACACUUUGUUUAAGUGACAUAAUAAUUCUAAAACUCUGGCAGUAUCUUUAAACUUUUUUUUUCUUUUUUAGUAUUAAUCUUGAACCUUCAGCGGUGUUGACUGACACAACCCUGCAUUAAGCUGUACAUGUUAACAAUUUAAGGAGGAGAAGCCUACUUUGAUAUCCCAUGCUUAAAUUCUAAUAGGUCUCUCCAAGGGAGAAGAAGCCAUGUAGCCGCUGUUAUCAGAGUACAUUAGGACUGAAGGAGGCCAUCAUUGGUUACAGAAACUUAGAGGAUCUGAAUGAUUAAGACCAGGAUAAAGGGUGACACGAUCAAAAAUUCACAUGUAACAACUUUCCAUGAUUCCUUCCUGUCUUCUCCAAAGGCCAUUUUUAAAUCUCAAGCUUUCAGUGGUGUCAAAUGAAGAGUGUAAUCGAUUUUAAUGGUAGGUCAUGUGUUCUUUUGAUCUCGACUGUCUUACUUGGGGAUGAAUGUGGAAACUUCUGUCAAAGGCUAAUCUCAGCAGGCUGUGACUCUCCAGGUUCCAGGGCAGCCAUUUAUUCACUCAGUGAAUUUUAUAGGUGAUAAAGCAGGGGUCUGGGAAAAUGAUGAAAAUUCUUGAAACCUGAACCACUUGGUGGAGACAGACCCAGGGAAUAUCCCUACUUCUGGAUUUCCAUUCAGUUUCCUUUGUGAUGACACAAUUGUGUUAGGGAGCUGGAGGGUCAGAGCUUCUGUACCUAGAGGACAGGGAGAAGGAGUCCCCUCCCACUGAGUCAUUCUGGGUGGUUCUUAUCAGGGUAGGCAACUUGAUCUUUAAAACUGUUUUUAUUUUCGGAGUCAUUGUCUUCCUAAAAUUUGAGAAAAUGAAUAAUGCCUCUAACAGUAGUUAUUCAGUUAGCUUUCUCCAUCUGAACAAGAGAGAUAGAAACGUUAUGUAAGAACUGAUCAUAAUUUUAGUUACAGGGUUUUAACUCUCCACUUCCAUGUUAUCAAACAAAGAGACUGACAGCUAAUCAUAGAUACUCUGAGUAGAGACUCUAGAAAUGCCUCACUUCUCUGGGUUUAAAUUUCUUCAUCUCUAGAGAUCAAUGAUACUUAGGCCACAUUAUAAAGACAUUUCAAGUGCCCCUUUACUGACUUAAAAUAUGUUUUAAAUGUGUCCAAAUGUAUUCUGUGAGUACCACAGAGUGAAGGUAAUGUGAAAAUAACUGCUUAUAAAAAACGAACACAAAGUUCCAAUAGAGGCAGAAAGUAACAUGUGCAGUGUGGAUAAUAAAUAAUACCAUUAAAUCCUUGUACCAUCCCUGCUUUCUGUCAAGAUAAAUAAUGUGAUAUUUAUUGCUGAGCCCAUAAUUACUUUUUAUGCCUGAAACAGGAAGACAUUGGAGCUGUUGCUACAAUGUGUUUUAGUCAAGUGAUUUUUCCAGUGGGUGACAAACAAGGUUUCUUCUUGAGUAUAAAAAAAUAAUAGGGAUCCCUGCCCAUCAGCAUCUCUUGAAAAUUAAUCUCCCCAGAUUGAAAGAUGCUCCGUUUAGAUAUUGGAAGAGGUUGAUUCCCUGUCAUGAUGUCUGAGCUUCAUGGUUGUUGGCUAUCACAGUCAUAAGGCAGGAGAGAUCCCUUCCAGUAUGAAGGUAAAAUAUGAAGAACAACAACAAGAACUCAAGAUAAUACUUAUGAAUUUCCAAACAGUGUGUAUGUUUUCUCUAAACACUUGAGUGUGCUUUAGAUCUGAAUUUCAAUGAGCUCAUCCCACUAUAGCAUGUUAUGUAUCUGGCUUGUGGGAUAGGAGAACAUUUUUGGAAUCUAAUUCCAGAGAUUACUUUCUUUCACAUUCCAGGAGAGAGAGCAGUAUCUUAGUUGGUUUGACAAUACACAUUUCCUACCAAGCGUUUAGUGAUAAAAAACAAGUAAAUGUUGAUGUUUUGUCCUACAUUUAAGACAUCCAGCCUAACAUUGUAUCUGAACAUUAUUGUGUUCAGAUUGAUGUCAAUAUCAUUGGAUUAUAAUUCCUAUGUUUUCCUCAAAGCAGGAAAAAUUAGAUUUUAUUGACCUGUAGCUUUAUGCUAUCUACUUUUAGUUAUUGUUUUCCCAAUGCCCUUUCAACAGAUGCUCCAAAUGGUCAAUGUUGAUGUUAGAGGAAGUAUGCUAUUCAUCUUAUGAUCUGAACUUAUGUCUUACUGGGAAAAGAAAUAAAACUCAGAUAUGAGAUAGUUUUUUGUUUGCUUACUUUUUAUGAAAUUACAUUUUUUUGUUUUUGUUUUUAAAGAUCUAUUUAUUUAUUUAUUUAUUUAUUUAUUUAUUAUGUGUGUACACUGUAGCUGUCUUCAGACACCCCUGAAGAGGGCAUCAGAUUUUUGUUAUGAAUGGUUGUGAGCCACCAUGUGGUUGCUGGGAUUUGAACUCAGGACUUUUGGAAGAGCAGUCCAUGCUCUUAAUUGCUGAGUCAUCUCACCAGCCCGAAAUUACACUUUUUAUACAACAUAUUUAGAUUAAAGUUUUCCGCCUACCAUCUCCUUUCCACAUUCCCUUCAUUCCCCUUCAAAUACACAACCUUUCUCUUUAGAAAACAAACAGAUAUCUAAAUAAU
rnacentral:lncRNA from 1 species